rnacentral:tRNA from 1 species
GGAGGAAUGGCCGAGCGGUCGAUGGCGCCGGUCUUGAAAACCGGAAACCGAAAGGUUCGUAGGUUCGAAUCCUACUUCCUCCGACCA